UACUAAUGUGGGAAGAGCCAUCCCAGAAAUCAGAAUACAAAAUGUGAACCCAGAAUUGGGGGAUGUUUUUGCAAUCACACUCCUGUUGAGUAAGACAUAUUUUCAUUUUAUUGCAACAUACUGAAAUUUUAGUUUUCUGUACAAAUCAGAAUCUGCAGUCCCUCCCUUACCCCAAAUGCCCAGCUAAUCCAAGAGCACAACCAGAUUUUUCUGAUUGACUUUCUAUCUGCGACAGGAUGCUCAAGAUCAGGCUCUGUAGCUGACAGCAGUGGCACAGGCCUCUCCCAGCUCUGAGCAGCCUCUGCAGGUGCCUGGACAGCUGCUGGCCCCUCCCCUACCUUGGCCAGUUCCAAGUGAGGACCAGUGGUGAUGUGUGGCUGCAACUGUUGUGGUCACUUAGGCAAGCUCUUGUGUCUUUGAUGCAGGAGUUUGAGCAGCAGCAACUGAAGGCUUCUAUUUUGUGGGGCAGACAUCUUAGCUACUGAGCAAGUGCACAGUGAGUCUCAUGUGGAUAUGCCUGAAUGUCCAGCGUCAGUUCAUGGAGCUACUCCCUUUCCCUCCCAACUUUUCGUUGUUGUUGAGACAGGGUCUUGUUACCCAGACUGGAGUGCAGUGGCACCAUUGUAGCUCACUGCAGCCUCAACUUCCUGGACUCAAGUGAUCCUCCCGCCUCAGUCUGUAGCUGCGUCUACAGGUGCACACCAGCACACCUGGCUAAUUUUCGUAAUUAUUUUUUUGUAGAGACAGGUCUCAACUCACUAUGUUGCCCAGGCUGGCCUCCUCACUCUGUGCACACACUUUGAAAAGAAAAUGCUUCUGGUCGGCCACUGCGCCCGGCCAAUAAUUUUUUUAGUUUAAGUUCAUUUUUGUCCCCGCUGAUGAAAGUUAGAGCUGCUUCCUCCAGGCAGCCCUGGGAGUAGGGGCACAGACUUGUGCCUCGCUUCCCAGCAGCUGCCCAGUGCCUCUGUCCACACCCACCUCCCUGGUGUACUUGCCCCCUACAGCAGCAGCCCAGAUCCUCCCCUGGAUUAAAAUUGCAACUGGUGCCCUAACCCAAAACUUGAGAAAAAAUUCUCUAUCACAUCCACUCUUCUGGCAUUUGUAGAAUCUCUGGCCCUGGGUGUGUCUUUUCCUGUAGCUGUUACAGAUUUCUUAAGCAGAUUUCUUAAGCAGAUGGACAUGUCCAGAUUCAUGCCUAAAUAUCCAGUUGAUAACUGGAAAAUGCUGGUUCACGGUUCUUUAGUAAAGAUUAAUAAGGGAUCCCCAUGUGCUGGGGAGUGUGCUUCCAUUUGAGUGGGGAUAUCAGAAGAAAAAGAGGGGCUUGUGUAGUAAACCUUACUUUGCCAAUUCAGCUGUAGAGCCCAAAUUGUUACAAGAUGCAAAGAUGUACUCCACUUUUUGACCAAGCAUCAGCACCUUUGGCUUACCAUCCAGUCCUUACUUCUGUGACUGUAAGGGCCCCACCAGUGUCAGCAGACUUGUUUGUGCUUUGGGGGAACUCUCUUCUCAGCUCCCUUUGCCAGUCCCAAGCCUGGUGGAUCUGCAUCUCACGCCCACUGCACACCGUUCCUCUCCAUCUGCCCUUCCCUCCCAGGCCCCCGGUCGGGGGAGCAGGUGUGGCAAGUGUUAGGAACUCCCUUCUGGUGACAGCUGGUCUUCCUAGAGUGUUGCUGGUAACUAUCGCCUCUUGGUCUUCUGACAUCAUUGCCAGGAACGGGGCACUUUUUCGUCUUGUAGUUUGGCCCUCGGGUUUCCUCACUAGGUAUUGUGUAACUCCCUCAAAAAAAGGUUUAUGAAAUGCUGAACCUCAGGUUUCAUAGACGUCUUUGUACACUAAAAAUUCUGCAGCAGAAUAUUUUUAAACAUUCGCAGUUUUUUGUAA
rnacentral:lncRNA from 10 species